rnacentral:rRNA from 1 species
UACGUAGGGUGCAAGCGUUAAUCGGAAUUACUGGGCGUAAAGCGUGCGCAGGCGGUUGUGCAAGACAGAUGUGAAAUCCCCGGGCUCAACCUGGGAACUGCAUUUGUGACUGCACGGCUGGAGUGCGGCAGAGGGGGGAUGGAAUUCCGCGUGUAGCAGUGAAAUGCGUAGAUAUGCGGAGGAACACCGAUGGCGAAGGCAGUGUCCUGGCGCGUAACUGACGCUGAGGUGCGAAAGCCAGGGGAGCGAACGGG